rnacentral:tRNA from 1 species
UCCUUGGUGGCUCAGAUGGUAAAGCAUCUGCCUGCAAUGUGGCAGACCCAGGUUCAAUCCCUGGGUUGGGAA